rnacentral:lncRNA from 1 species
UAAGAUUGCCAUGACUACUUGUGAGCAAAUAGUCAGGAAGGAUUUUGCCCUGGAUUCGGAGGAAUCUCGAAUGCGAAUAGCAGCUCAUCACAUGAUGCGUAACUUGACAGCUGGAAUGGCUAUGAUUACAUGCAGGGAACCUUUGCUCAUGAGCAUAUCUACCAACUUAAAAAACAGUUUUGCCUCAGCCCUUCGUGAAGGAUGAAAGCUGUUUGAGAAGGCCGAUACAAAAUGACUUAAAGUGAUGUUGCAUGUGCACACACUUUUCAAAUAAUUCACUUACUAGUUUUGAGUCUCAGAUAUCAUGGUUAAUAAUUCAGACUGCUUCCCCACAACAAAGAGAAAUGAUGGAUCAGGCAGCUGCUCAAUUAGCUCAGGACAAUUGUGAGUUGGCUUGCUGUUUUAUUCAGAAGACUGCAGUAGAAAAAGCAGGCCCUGAGAUGGACAAGAGAUUAGCAACUGAAUUUGAGCUGAGAAAACAUGCUAGGCAAGAAGGACGCAGAUACUGUGAUCCUGUUGUUUUAACAUAUCAAGCUGAACGGAUGCCAGAGCAAAUCAGGCUGAAAG